GUAAGAGUGAAAAUAGAGAGAAAGAGAAAGAGUAGGCAAGUUGGAUGAAGAGGUAGGCAAGCCUCAGCUCAAUAUAUAUAAUCCUAUGUGAUUCUAAAGGUUUGGAGACCACAAGUUGCCUGGCCUCUAAAUGAUGGAGUCUUCUAGGACUCAAGAGUUUGGAGCACUUGGAUGGCUCAGCUGGUUAAGCGUCCAACUUUG